rnacentral:rRNA from 1 species
GAUGAACGCUGGCGGCGUGCUUAACACAUGCAAGUCGAACCGAAAGGCCCAAGCUUGCUUGGGUACUCGAGUGGCGAACGGGUGAGUAACACGUGGGUGAUCUGCCCUGCACUUCGGGAUAAGCCUGGGAAACUGGGUCUAAUACCGGAUAGGACCACUUCUUGGAUGUUGUGGUGGAAAGUUUUUUCGGUGUGGGAUGAGCUCGCGGCCUAUCAGCUUGUUGGUGGGGUAAUGGCCUACCAAGGCGUCGACGGGUAGCCGGCCUGAGAGGGUGUACGGCCACAUUGGGACUGAGAUACGGCCCAGACUCCUACGGGAGGCAGCAGUGGGGAAUAUUGCACAAUGGGCGCAAGCCUGAUGCAGCGACGCCGCGUGGGGGAUGACGGCCUUCGGGUUGUAAACUCCUUUCGCUAGGGACGAAGCGUUUUGUGACGGUACCUGGAGAAGAAGCACCGGCUAACUACGUG